rnacentral:rRNA from 1 species
GGAUGAUUCCCUCAUUUUAGAACUACACUUCCAAAGACUAACAAAUUAAUUUUAAGUGAUCCGAUACCCGUAUUCGAUCAACGAACCAAGUUACCCUGGGGAUAACAGCGCAAUCUACCUCAAGAGCCCCUAUCGACAGGUGGGUUUACGACCUCGAUGUUGGAUCAGGGUAUCCCAGUGGUGCAGCAGCUACCAAAGGUUCGUUUGUUCAACGAUUAAAACCCU